UUGCCUCGGGCUCAGGUUAGCAGGGCAGCCAGGCCUGGCCAGGCUUAGAAGGUAGAACUAGGCCCCACUCAGAGCCCCGGCGGUGUUGCCGCCCAAAGGAUCCCGACACGCGGCGGCACUUUAAACACACCCUCACUUGGGCAGCUAAACCCGACAGUGGGGAGCAGAAGCGGCAGGCGACCGGGUUACUGACAUCCCCACGGACCAAUCACAGAGUGCUUCCAUGUGUUCAGCAUUCCUGAAAACGUCUUAUGAAGAUAACUUACUUGUGUAUGACUGCUUCCUGUGAGAAAGAUAAAUCCACCGGACAGAAUGUGCUGGAAGUGCCUGACCAUGCUUAGUAUAGGUGCAGGAGCCAAGUAGUCAUGAAGGACAAGGGUGAUUGUAAUGAAGGGGCAUUGCAAGACUCCAGACAUGGAAGACUUGGCAAUGGAAGACAAGUUCCAGCACACUUGAGACAAAGUGAAAGAUCCAUUCCAUAGCAUAGAGCAUAUGUUUGGUUCUUUGGAGGUGAAAGGACAAGAACAAAAGAAGUCAGCCACAGGCUCUAAAAAAAGCAUACUGAGAUACCUUGCUCUGAAGUAUUUACCAAGAUCCUUCUAAGGAAAUGACCAAUGGGCCAGGGCCUCAGGCCCAGCCUCUGUCUCUGGAGAACCUCCUAUCCAGUAUUCCAAGGUAGAUACAGUUACAGUCAUGAGGUCAUCAGGCACUCAAUCCUUCCCUCUCUUUGAGGGGGGUCAGGAGAUGCUAGAAAUGCUGCAGAAUUCUUCCUUCCGAUGCCCCAAAAGGAAAAGCUGGGAUGGUAAGAGCAAGGAGGCAGUAAGGAGGUAGGAUACUCCAAGUAGGAGAACUACAAACCAUUUUUCCUUGCAUUUUUACCAUGUGGGAUAAAUUGCAUGACUACAGUCUAAUGCUUGUGAUCUAUAAAUUGCGGGUAGGUAGGAGGAUAAUAUCAUUCAAACUGAGAAAGGAAAGUCCAGCUUAUAGGAUGGGGGCUCUGAGUGUGCAAAUUGUGGGUUUUAUAAUUUCUUUUUUUUAAGUAGGUUUAUUAGCAUUAUGCAAAGAUUCUGUAAUUUAGCUUGCAACAGAAAACAAAAGAAUAUACAGAUGAGAACACCAGCAGCAUAUAUUUUAAUUUCUUGAGUGACAUUUCAUCGUCUUCUAGUCUAAAUUCAGAAUCCAUCCGGCGUAGGGACUUUUUCCUCUGGCCUGGCACAACUUGGUAGUGGAGGAGGCUGGCUUUUGCAACAGCAUACCAGAGUGAUGAGACCACUUGGUUGAUGGCUUAAGUAUAGUGCCACAUGGUGGACAAUUCAGAUAUGAUACUUCCUCUCUGUAUCCUUAAUAUGUGAACACAUUACCUUUGUGUGAGCUUGAGAAAACCAGCACAUAAGACAGUGGAGGCUGCACCAGCAGGACCUCAAGUGUAUAUGCUGCGUACGCCUGGAUCAUAAUACAGAUUGCAGCUCUUACCUUAGUUUUUCUCCUUCCGUCCUUAAAAUAAAUUGUUCUUGUCUCUUUUAGCAUCUACCACAUCCUGCUUUGUGUUAUUAGCGAUAGAUAUUUAGUUCAGAUUCUAGGUCCACUCCUUGCUAGCUGUGUGACCUUAGACAAAUAAUUUAAUCUUUCUGGGCCUCAGUUAUCUGAACUGUAAAAUAAGGGGUUUGGACUAGAUCAUCCAAAAGAGCCUUUUCUCAUUCCCCUUCUCUUCCUACAAAUUCAAUCUCCAUAGAAGUAAGGCCCUUGAAGGCAUAUCUCAUAAGUCAUAGGAUUUAGAGAUGAAAGGAACCUUUCUCUACACUGUGCUGCCUGUAUUUGGACCAUCAUCCUCAACCCCCAUCAGUGGACCCUUGGAUCCUGCCCUCUGGGAUCCUGGGUUCUGAGAGGGGAACAUUCUAUGCCACUUCUUGGUCAUUUCCACAUGUUGCCUGGGUGCAAGACCCUCUCUCCCUGCUUUCUAGCCCCAUUUAUGACUGGUUUUCCCCCAUUCAAACCGAGUCCUGGAGUGCAAGACUGUGUUGCUUGCUUGUGCCUUAGCACAGGGCCUAGAUUCUAACAAGGGCUGCAUCUAGCUCGCUAGCUAAACCCUCUUCUCUUAUAGAUGAGGUAACUGAGGAUUAUCGGUCAGCAUCUUCUUUGGCUUCCCACCGCAUGUCCCACAGGGGCCUUCCUGGGACAGAUGCUUGGAAAAUGGAGGACUCCAGUACUCAAUUCAUUGGCCUACUUAGCUGCUUCCUCGUGGGAAUAUCAGUUCUCGGGACACUGAUCAGGAGAGGAAAUGGGAUUUUAGUAAGUACAUAAAUGAUUCACCAUCCUGUUCAGGGCCCCACUAGCUUUCAUUUAGCCUAUUGCAAUGACCUCUUAAACAAUCUCUCUCUGCUUCAAUUCACCCUGCACAAGCAGCCAGAAUGAUCUAAUGUGCAACCCUGACCGUCCUCUACCUCAUUGGCGCCCCUCUAGAUAGAAGGUAAAUUUCAAGCUUUGGGGAGGUGGUAAGGUUUAAGAUGGGGGAGGGGGAUGAGAGGGGAGAUUUAUAACAUAAUAGAGGCAGUAGAAAUGCCCAGCUAAGAAACUAGCCCCACUUAGAGAGUGAUACCUCUGGCCCAGUUGUGAUGAAAACAAUGAUGAUCAUCUGAUUUUCCAAGUGUCAUCCUCCUAUAGGAUGUAUGUAACCUCCAUGAGUGCAGGUUCCAGACUGCCAAGACCAAAGAUCCCGGAGGACCUUUCAGGGAUGAUAGAGAAUCCUCCAGCUAGCCCAUUAACAACAGGCUUUCCAGAGAGUUCAGGUUGGUCAGGUUUCUAGUAGCCUUGAGGAAGGGAUUUUAACCAAGUUUUGGGGUGCCAGGGGAGAUAAAGAGGUCUGAGUAAUACUAAGCAGAAUGUAUGGACCAAAGAUCAGGAAGAGAGAAGACACAUAUGGGGGCAGGAAUGUGCUGGCGCUGGGCCCAGAUUGAAUUGGCAGCUGGUGAGGGUGAAAUUCAGCCAACAGCUUCUUUCUUUCUAUGGAUUUUCCAGAGCACAACCAGCACCGUGGACAUUCCUACCCAUAAUUUAAAUCCAAUUUUUAACUAUCACCACUCAGAUUGCCUAAAAGGGGAUGUGAGAGGGGAAAAGUGACCUGAGCUGUGAACAUCAUUAUAACCUUCUCUAUUUACCUUGUUGAAAUGUGUAGCCGCUUUUCUUUUACUUGAUAGUGCUAAUAAAUUACAUAGCAGUUAAUGAUGGUUUUGUGUGAGCCUAUAAAUUUGUGGUUCUAGAUUGAGAGAGGAAAAUACCCCAUGGGAAAAGAUGAAAAUUUCCCUGAUUUUAUUUCAGGGUAGAGAUUGAGACAGAAAGUUUGCAAGUUUGGUAAUUUCUGAAAACACCCCAGUACAUACCAUUAAACAAACUGUCUUCAAACUAAAAGUGAGAAUUUUUAAAAUUAAUAUUUUUCAGUUUACAAAUAUUUAUUUUCUCAUCCCUUCUCCCUUCCCUCUCCCCACUGGAAGAAAAUUAAAACAAAAUACUCCUAAUAAACACGCAGUCAAACAAAACAAAUUCCUACAUUGGCCAUGUCCAAAAUGUACAACGCAUUUCUGUACUUCGAGUCUGUCACUCUUUCAGAAAUUAAAUAGCAUGCUUCAUUAUUGGCCUCCUAGAAUUCUGAACAGUCAUGACAUUGAUCAGAAUUAGGCUUUCAGAGCUGUUCAAAUUUAUAAUGUUAUUAUAUAAAUUGUUCUCCUGGUUCUCACUUUCAUGGCACAAUAGUAUUCCAUUAUCAUUCAUAUACCAUAAUUUUUCAGCCAUUCUCCAUCUGACAGGGAAUCCCUUCAUUUCCAGUUCUUUGUUGCCACAAAAAGAACUCCUUUAAGUAUUUUUGCAUAUAUGGAUCCACUGGGAAUCAGAGAGGGAAUGAGAUGAGCCAGUAGUGGAAUGAAGCAGAUUUUGGUAUGGCUAUUCCCACUUCACCUGAGGUACUCUACCAUUCCAUAAGAAUUAUAGUCAAAAUAAUUGACAUUUAUAUGACAUAUUGCAGACCUCAAAGUCCUUGACAUGCAUUAUCUCAUUUGAUCCCCAAGACUCUGUGAGCUCUAUUACUAUCCCUAUUUUACAGAUGAGAAAAUUAAGGCUUUGUUAUAUGAUUUAUCCAGACACACAGCCAGUAAGAACAGAGGCAGGCUUCCUACUUUUGUGAUCCUGGGCAUGUCACUUAACCCUGAUUGCCUGCUUCUGUCUUAGCAUUGAUACUAAAACAGAAGGUAAGGUAUUUUUUUUUUAAGAAGAAGAAAAGGCAGGAUUGAAGUCCAGAUCUUUCUGACUGAAAUCUAGUACCUCAUUCACUAGACUGAAUUGCUGCUGUUAACUUUUGUAUCUCCCUUACCACCUAGCACAAUGCUCUGCACAGUUUAUUGGGGUGUCCAGGGCUGCCAGGGUGCUAGGGGAGAUGGAAAGGCCCAAGUAAUACUAAGCCAAACAUUGGCUGAAUUUAAUUGAGUAUCUUCUGUCAUUUGACUCUCCAGCAAAACAAGAAUGGUAAUCCUUAUUUUACAAAUGAGGAAUGAGGCAGAGGAAUCCCCGGAGUGGUCCCAAGAUCACACAGAGAGAUUCCAGGACAGAAUAGGAAAUAGAACCCAGGUUUCCGGGCCACCAGUUAAAGCCAUUCUGAGACACAACAAAAUGAGGCUAUAGCCUCAGACCCUUUAUUUUGACCAGGUCCUCCAGUAGGCAGGAGUUGCCCCGGGUUUCUCUGUCUGUCUGUCUGUCUCCCACUCUGUUCUAUCUCUAGUGGAGGAUGUGUGGGUGCUCUUUUUUUUUUUUAAUUAAAAACCCUUACCUUCCAUUUUGGAGUCAAUACUGUGUAUUGGCUCCAAGGCAGAAGAGUGGUAAGGCUAGGCAAUGGGGGUCAAGUGACUUGCCCAGGGUCACACAGCUGGGAAGUGUUUGAGGUCAGAUUUGAACCUAGGACCUCCCAUCUCUAGGCCUAGCUCUCAAUCCACUGAACUACCCAGCUGCCCCCGGUGCUCCUUUUAAAUGGUUCCGGCUGGUUAAAAGAAGGGGCUGGAGGGAACUGGGGAUAGAUCUGGAGUACACACACACAUAUCGUGGUUGUCCCUCAGGUCCAGGGACAUUCUUGUGGCCAGUCACUAACUCCAUCAGGUGAUUCCCCACCCUUCACUCUCAUUCUUGGUCACCCUACACGGAUUUCUCCCCCACCAGGACAGUUACACAUUGUUCUCUCCUCCUAAAGCCCUGAGGCAGAAGCCGGGGACGAUUCCCGUAUUCUCUGGUGAAGGCUCGGGGGUUGGGAUGGGGGAGCGUGAUCCUCCGUUGGGGUGGAUGAAGAAGAUAUUAAUGCUUGGAGCAGGGGGCGAGGACGCUAGACUAAAUCACCCCUGGAAUCUCUUCCAACUCUGAAAUUCUAGAAUCCUCGGCCCUGGCCACGCCCUUCCCCGGGCUCCUCCCUUUAGGACCCUGACUCCCUUCUUGGUCCUUCUGCCUUCUCCCAUCACCCCCUCCGCCCACUCGCCCCAAGUCAACUUCCGGUCCUGUCAUGGUGACGGAGCCCUUCUCUCUGCUGCUACCUUGUGGCACAAAACAGACAGGAGACUCAGCUGCGAGCUCUCUUUACAAUCCGCCUGGUUCCCUCCUGCCCCUGGGGAGCGGUCAGCCAUCCGGGAAGGGGAGAGGGGAAAAGGGAGAGGACUGUCGUCCUGAAAGCCAGGUGCUUCUCCUUCUAGUCGGGAAGGGGAAAGCGGGGCCCAAGGAAGGGUUAUCCUAGAUUGACCAGGGUAAAUGUAACGAGGCGGUGUCUUGGCCCAUGACGGAGGGGGAGACGGCUAGGUGGAGCUUAGCCACGGGAGCAAUGAAUGGGAAAAGUUCGACGAAAUGCGGCUUGAGGUCAGAGCUUUGAGCAGGGAUUUCAGUCCCACUCUUUCCUUUCUUACCGUGCUCCAUCACCCCUCCGUGGCCAGGCCUCUCUUAGCCCUUCCUGCCCUGUGCCCCUUUCUUUCUGGCUUUGGAUUCUGCUUUCCUAGUUACAAUUCUUGUUCCCUCCUCUUUCUCCUCCAUCCAUUUAUAAUGAUCAGAGUGAGUGGUCCCUCGUCCAGUCUGCACCUCUCAGGUCUGGGCUCCCCUGUCUAUGCCCAGGCCUUUAAUGUCCACGUGGCCCACCUGGGUUCCAUGUUCACAUCCUAGGCCUGAUACUAAUUGCAUUAGACUAGAUUGGACUCUAUGUUUAUCACCCUAGAGCUAUCUGUUCCCCUAGAUGAGGGCCCUAUGUCUGUACCCCCAUUCCCAAGUCCUAUGUCUCCUCCUGGGCUCCCUGUCUGUCCCCUCAGGUAAAGUUCUUGUCUUUCAGUCAGUCAGCAGGUGUCUAUCAUACGACAGAUGCUGUACUAAUCCUUGGAUGUUGUUUUUUCUUUUUCCUCCAAUAAUGUUUUAUUCUUUCCCAAUUACAUGUAAAAACAAUUUUUUUGCAUUUGUUUGAUAAUAUUCUGCUCCUUCCCUCCUCUCCUCCCUCUCUGAGACAGUAAAUUUGGUAUUGGUGAUACAUGUGUUAUUGUAGAAAAUAUUUUCAUAUUUGUUCUGUGGAAGAAGAUAUAUAAAACAGGAAGAAAAGAAAGUGAAACAUGGUAUACUUUGGUCUGAAUCAUCAGUUCUUUCUCUGCAGGUGGAUAGCAUUUUUUGAUCCUGAAUCCUUUGGGAUUCUCUUGGAUCAUUGUGCUGCUGAGAAUAAUUAAGUCAUGUAUAGUUGUUCAUCCUACAAUAUUGCUGUUACUAUGAACAGUGUUCUCCUGGUUCUGCUCACUUCACCUGUAUCAGUUCAUUUAAGGCUUUCUAGGUUUUUCUGAAAUCUUCAUGGUCAUCCUUCCUUCCUUCCUUCCUCCCUCCCUCCCUCCCUCCCUUUGAUCAUUGAAGAAAGAUCAUUUUGGUCAAGAUUCAUUCAAUUAAAAGGUCUUGUAAGAGAUAUAAAAGGACUCAGUCUCUGCCUUCAUGGAGUUUGAAGUAAGUUUAUAUUCUCGUUGGAAUGAAAACUGGAAGAGAAGUUAGAUAUUAAUCUCAUCCAACCCCUUCUUUUUACUUGAAAUGCUUAUCCUCCUUACAAGUACCAAGGACAAUCUAAGUCUCACCUGAACAGUAUUGAUAGAACUAGGGAGCUUGGCUUCCAGAAGCUCCAUGGGAUGCUGCGUGCCACCAGGUGGCACUGGAAGCAUAAGCUACCAGCUUACUGUACAUUUGCUAAUUGCCCAUGUGCAGAAGGAAACCUAUCCUCCCUAGAGCCCCUGGAUUCCUAGGGUUAAAUUUAGGGAAUGGAUUAAUUUUUUUAAAAAAACCUCAUCAUUCUCUCAGCUUGUAUUCUUACCUUCUUAGACUUUCUUUCUCUUCAGUGUCUCCCCUAAAGAACUCAUUGGACAUAUGGUUUAAUACCUUUACUAUAGAGGAAACAAAAGGACAACAUUAACCUUCUUGACUCAAACCACUAUGGCUGGGAUGGAGACUGACCAGUAUUCCUGGUCUUUUUCCUCCCUAGUGCCUGAAAUUCCAUACACCAUUAACAGAGUAUUCCAGCUGGAAAGGAUAUUAGACGUCAUCUAGUCCAACUUCCUUAUUUUACUGAGAAGUAAACCAAGCACUAGAAAGGCAAAAUGUCAAGCCUGCCAUGACAUAUCUGGCUCUUCAUGUAGCAUGCAUAGACUCUAGGAGUUCUUAUCCCAAAUCCCAUUCAUACUGACAUCCGUGGUAACAUCUCCCUAGGGUUCUAGAUGUAGCCCUAAAGACUUGGAGGGUAGAGUAUUUAUUUUCUAUAGUUCAUGAGCCCCCACCAGCAUGCUUUCCCCCUAAUUAUUAGUUGAUAUAAAUGAGUCAAUCAGAUUUAAUGUGCUGUUAGAAAGGGGUAUUCACCAAGGUGAUAUCAUAAGAACAGUUGGAAUAAAACAUCCCCCUAACACACAAAGUAUUUGACUCACUCCCUCACAAAUGCCUACAAAAUUCAGGGAAAAGUAGACAAGCUUAGAAAGCACAUGAAGGGAUAACUCAUAGUUUUUGAAUGCCCUUUUAAUGGAAUCUUCACAAUGAUUUUCUUAGGUAAAGUGUAGAUUUUCUGA